rnacentral:rRNA from 1 species
GCUUGUCUCAAAGAUUAAGCCAUGCAUGUCUAAGUAUAACUCUUUUACUUUGAAAACUGCGAACGGCUCAUUAUAUCAGUUAUAGUUUCUUUGAUAGUCCCUUACUACUUGGAUAACCGUGGUAAUUCUAGAGCUAAUACAUGCAAAGAACCCGACUUACGGAGGGUUGUAUUUAUUAGAUAAAAACCAAUGCCUCGUGCUUUUGGUGAGUCAUGAUAACUGCGCGGAUCGCAUGGCCUUGCGCCGGCGACGCUUCAUUCAAAUUUCUGCCCUAUCAACUUUCGAUGGUAAGAUAGAGGCUUACCAUGGUGUUAACGGGUAACGGGGAAUUGGGGUUCGAUUCCGGAGAGGGAGCCUGAGAAAUGGCUACCACUUCCAAGGAAGGCGCAG